rnacentral:lncRNA from 10 species
AAAUAUGUCUACUGUGCAAAUUAGCAGCAUAUUCCUUAGUGUCUUCCCUAAGUUUCCUCACUGAGUUUCUGUGUCAUAUUGCUUCUCCUCCUGGUGUACUCUUUUCCCACUCCUUUGCCCCAACCACAUACACACUAGGUUUUAGAGCAGCAGCUUCUAGCCCAUUUUCACAGUCUCUGGUCCUGGCAGAACACCUGUUGAAUCUUUGGUCUUUAUAUCACAACCUUUCGUUCAUUCAUCUAAUCCAAAGAAUAUUUUAUAUGCCAGACAUUUUGCUAGAUAGCGAAGAUGUGUCAUAAAUAAAAGAGAAGAGCCCUGUUCAACCUCUCCACCCAAUUGUGGGAGAAAUUGACAUUAAAUAAAUAAUAGCUGAUUAUUUUGUUAAAAUUAUAAUAGUGUUACAUAGGAGAAGUCACUGUGUCUCAGGAGUGUAGAACGGGGAAACUAAUUAGUCAGUGAUUGUGUGAGAGGAGUGUUAGGGAAGACCCCUCAGAGGAAAUGAUAUUUUCUUAGACUUUAAAAGAGGAUGAAGAGUUGUCUAGUUGAAGAUAAAGUGGGGUGAUGCCUAAUAUAUUGCUCAAUAAAUAUUUUUUUAAUGGAUUUGUAAACAAAACUUCCAGAAAGAAUUAUGGGUAUUGAUUAUAUGCUAAUCAUAGUAGUCAGCAUGUAUAAGAAGGUAAAAACUACAUAUAUUUUAGGACCAGGCAGCUCUUAUUCAUUCUGGCAGUGACAUGGAAGUGAGAAAGGCCAGCUGACCUAAAGAGAUCAAACUUUUGACCUUGCCCUCUUUAAUCCAGGACCCUAAACCACUGUGGUAACUAGACAAUUGUGAUAUAUGAAUACUUUGAAAACCUUAAAAAUGAAGAACAUUGAGUCUUUCAUGAAAAUACUCCUGAUCACAGUGUUUGCAUUACAAACUGAAAUCCAGUGGAAUAAACCCUGGUGGGCCUAUGUGGUAAAACUAUCAUAUUUUUCCUAAUGACUGUGCAAACUCAUUAUAAAAUCAUAAUUUUGAGGUUUCAUACCCAUCAUGAGUCAAGAUAGGUUAGUUUUGGCAAAAUACAUCUUCUUGGCUUUAGAGACUGUGAUCCAUCUUUGUGGCAUCAAAGAAGGGCAGCAUAAGUGUUGACUGGAAUCCCAAACUUUUCACCUCCCUUUGAUGCCAAGCCAAGCCUAAGCUUUCAUCAAAAGUACAUAAAUUCUUUUAUAUGGUGUAAUUAGGAGUUUGUAGCAUAAUUUGCAACAGAGGUUGCUUUACUUGCAUGCUUUUUCCCUUCCUGGAUCUUUUUCCCUGACCUGAGAGAAUGAAAAUAAAUCUCACAUCAUCUUCACCAAUUUUCUCUUCAUCCCACCUGGAUGUGCUUCCUCUUAGGUUACCAACUGCCCAACAGAUACGUCAACUGCAAGAUGUUCUAUCAAGCAAUUCACUACUUCCUCCCUUCUCAAUCUUCAGGCUCUGCAUAUGGAAAUGAACAUUUCAUUAUGACCCUAUGACCUACAAAGCUCCCUCUCUGUCACUCCUUAUCAUCUUUCCUAGGGAGGCAAUCAAAAUGAAAUGAUUUUAAGAUUCUAGCACUCCCAACUCUAAGUCACAUGAUUUGAAGAGAAGAUCAUUCGGAGCAGUGGAAAAAUGAAAUCAAACAUAGCUGCUACCUCAGAUUGAAGAGAUGUCCUCUCCGAUUCUUUAAAGUAUUUCCUAUUCUCCUACCCACCUCCUCUGUUGUUUGCAAGACUCAAAAAGAUAAAUUUAUAGUGAAAUAAGAAUCCUCCAACUUACAUAUUAGAGCUUCUGCAAUUAAAGAAAAACAGAAAUCAGGCUGGGCGCAGUGGCUCACGCCUGUAAUCCCAGCACUCUGGGAGGCCAAGGUGGGUGGAUCACCUGAGGUCAGGAGCUUGAGACCAGCCUGGCCAACAUGGCAAAACCCCAUCUUUACUAAAAAUACAAAAAUCAGCUGGGUGUGGUGGUGGGUGGCUGUAAUCCCAGCUAUUCAGGAGGCUGAGUCAGGAGAAUCCCUUGAACCCAGGAGGCAGAUGUUGCAGUGAGCCGAGAUGGCACCACUGCACUCCAGCCUGAGUGACAGAGUGAUACUCUGUCUCAAAAAGAAAAAAAGAAAAAGAGAAAUCUAUGGGUGAAGACAAAUGGAAUGGCAAUACCUUGGAGUAGCAUUUACUAAUUCAAGCCAUAUAAACCAUACUAAGGUUGUCAGCCCAGAGGGGAGUCCAUCUGCUAUGUAGAUGAGAGAAUGCGACCAGGAAAGUCAGGACACAAAGCCAUGAUUCUUUCAACUUUUUGGCACUUUAAUAAGUGAAUUGCAUGUCCUGUCUUCUCCAUGAACUCAGCAAAGCUACAACUAAGCUCCUCAUCUUGAGAGUUCACCAUGUGCCCACUUUGACCUAUGGAUGGGCCCCUUGGCACUCUACCUUUUCAGUGUCCUCAACUGCACAAACUUCCUGGGCUGCACUGACUGCUGUACCCAGGCAAUUUUUUGGGAGCUCCAAUGUCUUGUCUAGCACAUGACAUGAGGCUGUAGCAUGUUCUUUCAAGUAUUAGUGCUAAAGAGGUCCCAUUCUACUUUCUCUGACUGAUCAGGUCACUGUUUUCAGCUACCUGGCCCUUCUAAGUCAGGGUCACUAGAGUAUUGGGAGGUUUGUAACUUCUUCAUUGGUGUCUUGUGUUUUCCUGUCUUUGAACUUGAGGAAAGCUGGCCCUGGAUGUUCACAACAUCAACCAAGCAAUGAAAACCACAGCACCCUACAGGAAAUUCUGCAUUUCUCUCAAAACAUGCAAAACACAAAAUUGGGUGGAACCACAGAAGGUUAUGGAUAACUCACUACAGUUUGGACUUUCAAAGGCCCUGGGAAAACUAUCCUACUUUUGUGAGAUACUAUUGUUCUACCUGUAAUGCAAGUGAACAGAUCUUAAUAAGGACAAAUAACAAUUUUUUAAAUGUUUACCAUAUUUUCUCAUUUGUUCCUUUCAUCAAGCAUCCAACCUGCCAGACCCUGCACUUGAUGGAUCAGCUGGCACCACCCAAAUCAAUAAACCGGCUCAUCUGAUCUUGUGGCACCCACCCAAGAACUGACUCAGCACAAGGAGACAGCUUCGACUCCCUGUGAUUUCAUCCCUGUCAACCAGCACUCCUGGCUCACUGGCUUCCCCCCACCCAACCAAGUUAUCCUUAAAAACUCUGCUCCCUGAAUGCUCAGGGAGUUUGAUUUGAAUAAUAAUAAAACUCCAGUCUCCUGCACAGCCGGCUCUAUAAAUUACUCUUUCUCUAUUGCAAUUCCCCUGUCUUGAUGAAUCGGCUCUGUCUAGGCACCGGGCAAGGUGAACCCCUUGGGUGGUUACACUAGCAUUGGUUUUUGUUUGCCACUGCAGCAUUAAUUAUGUGUUUUUUAUGGCAAUAGAAAUUUUUUUUUACUGCCUUUCCUCAAUGUUACAUGAAGACAUAUUUCACAAGUAGGCCAAGUACAAAGUAGGAAUAGAAGCUAGAAUGGAAUCAUAGACCAGAUUCUUACAUAGAUCACAUCAGCCAGGCUGAGGCUCCAUCUGUGUGCAUGGCACGGCACAGCUGCGUUGGUUGCUUAUAGCUAGCAUCUGUUCUGAUUGGUUGGUGCCUGUGGCUUUUCAGUUGCUCAGAGUUUUGAAUACCAACCCUGGGUACACAGUUAUCUCUGAAAGCUAAAAUGGUGAAAUAUAACACAUAAUGAAUGCAAUGAGCCAGCUCUAGACACAACCAAGAGAAUUCCCGUAACUGGGAACCUGAGAAAGUAUAAAAGCACUUAAUUGAAGGUGUAAAUGAGAGAAAGCAGGUUUGAAAUGCAACCAAAACAAAGCCCACACAUAGACAACUGUAUUUAUAAGUUGUUUCUAAAUGGGAAUGGAACGGUGUUUUUCCGGGAAUCUAGGGAACAGUCUCUCUACGGCGACUUUUCUCAUGUGAGAAAACAGACAUUUAGCAGAAAACCAGAAAAUGUUCAUUGGCUUCGGUGAACUUUUAUUCCAAGUUUCAAUGAGGGACCCUGUGCAGAGGCUUGGGACACGGAGACCUCCCUCUGCUGCCUUUAAGGAAGGUCAUUAAAAAAAAAAAAAUUCCGUUUUUUUUUUUUUUUUAAAGACGGAGUCUCGUUCUGUCGCCAGGCUGGAGUGCAGUGGCCUGAUCUCGGCUCACUGCAACCUACGCCUCCCAGGUUCAAGAGACUCUCCUGCCCCAGCCUCCUGAGUACCUGGGACCACAGGCGCCCGCCACCACGCACAGCUAAUUUUUGUAUUUUUAGUAGAGAUGGGGUUUGAGCAUGCUGGCCAGGAUGGCCCCGAUCUCUUGACCUCGUGAUCCGCCCGCCCCAGCCUCCCAAAGUGCUGGGAUUAUAGGCGUGAGCCACCGCCCUUCUAACUUUUCUAUUGUACCACACUGAUGGCAAGGAAGGGCGGUAGGAAAGCCUGCCAAGGAAAGGGAGGACCGGCCUGCAUAUUCUUAAGCGCUGUGGGACACUGUUCUGUAGACGUUGCCCAUCCCAUUGCUCUCUCAGGGAGGGAUGAGCCACGGCCAGGAGCAGCUCCUGGUCAUCUACUGUACCACGUGUGCAGAGGGAAGACACACUCCCAGAGAAGAAAAUGCUGGGAAAAAGAGACCACAGCCUUUGUAUGGUGGCUCAAUGUAAGUACUUCUUGACAUGUCCAGUUGUACAGCUCCUCUUUGGGGUUGGAGCGCUUUGCUUUCCAGGGUGUAGAUUGGGGUCUGGGGAAGUGGUGAAGUGGAGUGAAACUGGAGGCCUGGAGCUCCCCCUAGAGGCCAAAUGUAUUUUACCCUGACUCAAGAAAACCUGGAGCUGGAAGCUUGGCUCAUCAAACCUAAAGUAAGAGUAAGAAUCAGCAGUAUUGUCGGCACUACCCCGGGAAGGGAGAGAUACUAAACCUAGUGAACAGUGCAGGUCCGGAAUCCUUUAUGUGAAGUUCUAAAACUCAAAAAACUUUGAAAAUGGAAACUCUUUUGAGACCUAUUUGGCAACAACGUUUACCUGCAAUAUGAGGACAUAGUCUUUAUUAUCUUAAUGUGAGUAUUUUUAUCUUUUAUGACAGAUAUAUUAAUUAAUGUGUUUAAUCAUGAGAGGCUGCCCAUAUUCCUAGUAGGAACGUUAAAAGGUAGAGUACCCACUAGGGGUGUUUUAAUGUACAGUAUAUGAACUGUUUACUUCUCUCAAAUCUUAAAAAUUCAGAAAUCUGAACUACAUCUGGCCCCAAUCAGCCAAAGGACUAUAGGCCUGGGUAUUAUAAUGCUCACUACUGUGUGGGCCUCAAUCACAGCUCAACCUGUGCCAUGUGACUUUCAACAAGUGACUCACUGGCUAGAAGGCUCAGCUUCUUCUUUAGUAAGAUGGAAAUAUCACUAGUUUAGAUAUUAAAUGAGUUUAUGCACCGUGUUCAGCCCAGGACCUGGCAAAUAGUAAACAUCUAAGAGUGUUAGUGAUUAUUAUCAUACUUUGUUAUUAUUACUUGAUCUGAGAGAGUGCAUACCUCACUUUACUCUGAUUCACAGUCACCAAAGAGUCAUUUGACUACCAGCCACCAGGCCCACUAUUACCAGGAAGGUGGAAUCUUGAAAGACGAACAUGAGCUUUUGGGCCACUGAUGAUCCAUUAUAAAUCAAUAAUUUGAUAUUCUAGAUCCUAUCUCAAUCUCUUGAAUAUCUAGAAAAAUCAAAUCAAACAAAAAUCAGAGAUACUCUUGGUUCUGAGACACACCUAUACACCUAAAACCUUACUGGUUGCAAGCAGGCUUAAGUUACAGACAGCCAGACAGCCAAGAGCAUUUUGAAGGUGGGAAAACUAAGGCAAAGAAAUAGAAUGAUUUUUUUUGACAUGAGCACAAUAAUUGUAUGUGGGUCUUGGCUAAUGGUUUGUGAUUAGUUUACAAUGAUCCAAGAAUCUAGAAUAAGAUUUUCUUUUCUUUUCUUGUCUUGUCUUGUCUUUUCUUGACAUGCAGCCUCACUCUGUUCCCCAGGCUGGAAUGCAUUGGCACUAUCUCGGCUCACUGCAACCUCUGCCUCUUGGGUUCAAGUGAUGCUCCUGCUUCAGCAUCCCUGAGUAGCUGGGACUACAGGCAUGUGCCACCACUCCCAGCUAAAUUUUGUAUUUUUAGUAGAGACAGGGUUUUGCCGUGUUGGCCAGGCUGGUCUCAAACUCCUGACCUCAGGUGAUCUGCCUGCCUUGGCCUCCCAGAGUGCUGGGAUUACAGGUGUGAGCCACUGCACUUGGCCUAGAAUAAAAUUUUCUAAAAUGUUGUACAUAAAAUACUAGUGCUGCAAGAGGUUCUUUGAAUAAAAAAUUUCCCCAAAUUAUUUAAAAAUGAAACCCUUCUUUCAGGGAAUAUUUAUUAACACCCACAGAAUUUGGGUUAGAUAGAGUGUACCUGGGGAAAUACUGUUUUAGAGAGUAUCAACUUCUGUAUAUAAUUCAGGUAGAUAAUUCUUGGCUAUUGGGUAAUUUCAAG